rnacentral:rRNA from 1 species
GAUGAACGCUGGCGGCGUGCUUAACACAUGCAAGUCGAGCGAAGCAGUUAAGUUGAUUUCUUCGGAUUGAUUCUUAACUGACUGAGCGGCGGACGGGUGAGUAACGCGUGGGUGACCUGCCCCAUACCGGGGGAUAACAGCUGGAAACGGCUGCUAAUACCGCAUAAGCGCACAGAGCUGCAUGGCUCGGUGUGAAAAACUCCGGUGGUAUGGGAUGGGCCCGCGUCUGAUUAGGCAGUUGGCGGGGUAACGGCCCACCAAACCGACGAUCAGUAGCCGGCCUGAGAGGGCGACCGGCCACAUUGGGACUGAGACACGGCCCAAACUCCUACGGGAGGCAGCAGUGGGGAAUAUUGCACAAUGGGGGAAACCCUGAUGCAGCGACGCCGCGUGAGCGAAGAAGUAUUUCGGUAUGUAAAGCUCUAUCAGCAGGGAAGAUAAUGACGGUACCUGACUAAGAAGC